AUCGCUUCUCUGCCUUUUGGCUAAGAUCAAGUGCAAUAUCUGUUCUUAUCAGCUUAAUUUUCCUAUCUUCAAGUUCACUGAUUAUUUUCUCUGCCUGCUCAAAUCUGC
rnacentral:snRNA from 1 species